CAGUCGGCUCAUUAGUCCGUCAGCAGCAACACUCUGGAGACGCGACCGGCUCGUCUGCAUUCAACUGCGGCUCUCAGCCGAACGCUGGGUGGCAACAGGCUGCACUGCUGCAGCCUCCACAGGAGGCAGAGGUCUCCGCGGGCCCCUCAGGAUACAACUGACACCUGGUAUCAAUAAUCCAGCUCGUCCGUCCGACCUUUCACCUCCCAGUCGGAUCUCCUCAGCGCUGCGUCACUUCUGAUGAAAACCCAGCUGAGAGGCGAGCAGAGUUCACUUCCUGUUGUCUCUUCUGCUCGGCACCGUCCGUCCGAAGACAAAAGCAUGGAAAAACCCACUUCUGUGUUCACGCGCUCGCAGCCGC